UCCCGCGGCGGGCGCAGGCGCGGGUGGCGGGGUGUGCUUGGGCGGGAAGUGGGUGGUGAGGGCCGCUCUGGGCUCAGCGUUCCCCACCUGGAAUGCGUCCUGGCUUCGGCUGGCCCGGCCCAACCCUCAGCGGCCGCGGUGCCCAGGCCCACUCCUUCCGCGCCUGGAAACGUGAGACGGGUCACUGAGGACGACGUAGGCAAACUUUGCAGAGCACGUUGCCACCUGUUGGAGUAGCCGCUCCAGCCCCAGUCGAAAUGCACGGCCGAACAAUGGCAGUUCUGAGUGGCUCAGGGGCCCACACUUUCUUUAAAACCGAUGCACUCGUAGUAAUAUUUCUUAUGCCCCACAUCCAGAGGCCUGUGCUCACCACCUCAGCAGUGCCCGGGGAGGUUCGCCAGGCGUGGGCAGGCUCUCCCUUGAAAGCACCUGACCUGGUUCUACCUUGCACUGGGGCUGAAUGGUAAUUGGAAUUACAUGGGAAUCUCUUAUUGUAAUGCAUGAACAGAGUAAGUACAGUCAUCUAUUUGUUUUCUAUUACUGCCA
rnacentral:lncRNA from 1 species